ensembl:rRNA 5S_rRNA 5S ribosomal RNA
UUUAAUGAUUAUUAAUAGACAGAACAUGCCUGAUCUCAUCUGAUCUCAGAAGCUAAACAGGGUCAGGCCUGGUUAGUAUUUGGAUGGGAUACCAACUGGGAAUACCAGGUGCUGUAGGAU